AAUGUCUGGGAAACUGCCUGAUGGAGGGGGAUAACUACUGGAAACGGUAGCUAAUACCGCAUAACGUCGCAAGACCAAAGAGGGGGACCUUCGGGCCUCUUGCCAUCGGAUGUGCCCAGAUGGGAUUGGCUAGUAGGUGGGGUAACGGCUCACCUAGGCGACGAUCCCUAGCUGGUCUGAGAGGAUGACCAGCCACACUGGAACUGAGACACGGUCCAG
rnacentral:rRNA from 1 species